UACGUAGGGGGCUAGCGUUGUCCGGAAUCAUUGGGCGUAAAGAGCGUGUAGGCGGCCCGGUAAGUCCGCUGUGAAAGUCGGGGGCUCAACCCUCGAAUGCCGGUGGAUACUGUCGGGCUAGAGUGCGGAAGAGGCGAGUGGAAUUCCUGGUGUAGCGGUGAAAUGCGCAGAUAUCAGGAGGAACACCGAUUGCGAAGGCAGCUCGCUGGGACGUCACUGACG
rnacentral:rRNA from 1 species